UGGUCUGGAGAAUCUCACUUCCUACUUCUCAGGAAGCUAAAUGGGAAUUCCAGCAUUCUGAGGCAAGGGUUUCCUCAACUAGCCCACCAUGGAGAAAGUGAUACAGGACUGAGUGGAAGAAAGGCCACUGACUCAGAAUACUGGGAGACUUGUCAAGUCAUCUAGCACAUCUGACUGUCAACCCAUACAUAAAAGUUCUUUUUACAGAGAAAUACACACCAACGUGAGACAAAAAGAACUAGAGUCUGGUGAGACAGAGAACUAGAGAGUACACACAGAAGAUAAACAGGACAUGUGU
rnacentral:lncRNA from 1 species